UUUGAAGAGGACUUGUUUUUUCACUGGAGAGAAAAAACAAGCAGGUAAGAAAACUCAAAUGUUAAAAUUUACAAAAAAAAAAAAAGUCAGACCAGUUCUGCUGGUCACAGUGCUUAAAUAAAUACAGAAUGUCUGAUGAUUGACACAGUUCUGUUGUUGGCCAACUUGCUUUUAAACACUUUAGGGCUGCCUUCCCUUUACAGCGUGUAAUUUUUACUGCACAGGAGUGUAUAUUACCCCUGUGAAGAUGAAUAGCAGGAUUUAAAUGACUGAAAAUGGAACCUUUAUACUAAGCAGCUGCUCCCCAUGUCUAUUCUGAGUCACAUCUGCUCAAUGUAGGGACAAAAAUAGGUUUUUCCUGCUUUCUACUGCUCUCAGCUCUGCAGAGUCCCAACAGCUAAGGAACAGCAAUUUGGGUUCUAAUCUGGUUUACAGAUCACGAAAGGUUAACUACCUGAGACUUCAGUGAUGAAUAAGCUGCAACUUGAGCUUGACUAGCAUCUCAGGACAAAGUUAGAAAAGUCAUUUCACUUGUCAGUUGAGCACAUUUCAUAUGGAACUGUCAAAAGAACAAACACUGAACCCAA